GACGAACGCUGGCGGCGCGCUUAACACAUGCAAGUCGAACGAGAAGCUGUAGCAAUACAGUUGUACAGUGGCGAACGGGUGAGGAAUACAUGGGUAACCUACCCUCGAGUGGGGAAUAACCAGACCGAAAGGCUGGCUAAAUACCGCGUACGCUUCCCAGUCUGCGGGUUGGGAAGAAAGCUCUACCGUGGGUAGAGCGCUCAAGGACGGGCUCAUGUCCUAUCAGCUUGUUGGA
rnacentral:rRNA from 1 species